rnacentral:rRNA from 1 species
GAUGAACGCUGGCGGCGUGCCUAACACAUGCAAGUCGAGCGAUUCUCUUCGGAGAAGAGCGGCGGACGGGUGAGUAACGCGUGGGUAACCUGCCCUGUACACACGGAUAACAUACCGAAAGGUAUGCUAAUACGAGAUAAUAUGCUUUUAUCGCAUGGUAGAAGUAUCAAAGCUUUUGCGGUACAGGAUGGACCCGCGUCUGAUUAGCUGGUUGGUAAGGUAACGGCUUACCAAGGCGACGAUCAGUAGCCGACCUGAGAGGGUGAUCGGCCACAUUGGAACUGAGACACGGUCCAAACUCCUACGGGAGGCAGCAGUGGGGAAUAUUGCACAAGGGGCGAAAGCCUGAUGCAGCAACGCCGCGUGAGCGAUGAAGGCCUUCGGGUCGUAAAGCUCUGUCCUCAAGGAAGAUAAUGACGGUACUUGAGGAGGAAGCCCCGGCUAACUACGUGCCAGCAGCCGCCGUAA